GACGGAGGGUGCAAGCGUUGCUCGGAAUCAUUGGGCGUAAAGGGUGCGUAGGUGGCUUUCUAAGUCUGACGUGAAAGCCCAGGGCUCAGCCUUGGAAGUGCGUCAGAAACUGGGAAGCUAGAGUGCCGGAGGGGAGAGUGGAAUUCCUGGUGUAGCGGUGAAAUGCGUAGAUAUCAGGAGGAAUACCGGUGGCGAAAGCGACUCUCUGGACGGCAACUGACACUGAGGCACGAAAGCGUGGGGAGCAAACAGG
rnacentral:rRNA from 1 species